GUCAGUCUGCCAGGGAGCAGGCGGAGCCAGUUACAGUCAGUCGGUCAGGUAGCAGGCGGAGCCAGUUACAGUCAGUCGGUCAGGUAGCAGGCGUAGCCAAUUACAGUCAGUCUGCCAGGUAGCAGGCGAAGCCAGUUAUAGUCAGUCUGCCAAGAAGCAGGUGGAGCCAGUUAUAGUCAUUCUGCCAAGGAGCAGGCAGAGCCAGUUACAGACUGUCUGGCAGGGAGCAAGCGGAUCCAGUUAUAGUCUGCCUGCCAGGGAGCACGUGGAGCCAGUUAGUCAUUCUGCCAGGGAGCAGACGGAGCCAGUUAUAGUCAAUCUGCCAGAGAGCAGGACAGAGCCAGUUACAGUCAGUCUGCCAGGGAGCAGGCGGAGCCAGUUACAGUCAUUCUGCCAGGGAGCAGGCGGAGCCAGUUACAGUCAGUCUGCCAGGGAGCAGGUGGAGCCAGUUAUAGUCAGUCGGUCAGGUAGCAGGCGGAGCCAGUUACAGUCAGUCG